AUAAGUCGCACCUGUCGAAAAUGCAUAAUAAAAAAGGAAAAAAACAUGUAUAAGUCGCACUGGAGCCCGGCCAAACUAUGAAAAAAAAUGCGACUUAUAGUCCGAAAAAUACGGUAUGUGUGAUAAUUAAAAAAUAUAUAUAAUCAAAAUACAAUAAGUGCAAAAAUAUCCAUUCUUAAAAGAAUCUGACUAUACUAGAGUACGAUAUCUAAUGUUUUUUGUUUUUUUUACAUAGUUCAUAGAAUAUCAAAACAUUGUUUAAACUACUUGGGAAAUGUGUUUUUUUCCCACACCUUUUAGAGUAACAUUAACAAAAAAUGGCGCCUCUGUUUGUUGCUGCCAAGUAGUGCACUCUUGAUUAUUUGUUUUUACGAUAUAAAGUUGAAGUACCAAUGAUUGUCACACACACACACACACACACACACACUAGCGAUAUAUUUAUUGACUAUGGUGUCUUAAUUAUGUAAAUGCACAACAAGUGUGGAGAUGGCCUUGAAAAUGUAUUAAAAAAAUAAUAUAUAUAAUCAAAAUACAAUAAGUGCAAAAAUAUCCAUUCUUAAAAAAAUCUGACUAUACUAGGGAACAAUAUCAAUGUUUUUUUUUUAUAUAUAUAGUUCAUAUUAUAUCAAAACAUUGUUUAAACUACUUGGGAAAUGUGUUUUUUUUCCACACCUUUUAUAGUAACAAUAACAAAAAAUGGCGCCUCUGCUGGUUGCUGCCAAGUAGUGCACUCUUGAUUAAUAUUUGUUUUUACGAUAUAAAGUUGAAGUACCAAUGAUUGUCACACACACACACACACUAGCGAUAUAUUAAUUGACUAUGGUGUCUUAAUUAUGUAAAUGCACAACAAGUGUGGAGAUGGCCUUGAAAAUGUAUUUUAAAAAAAAAUAUAUGUAUAACAAUAAAAUAAAAAAUAUAAUUAAAAUAAAAUAAUUGCAAAAAAAUACAUUAAAAAAAAAUCUGACUAUACUAGAGAACGAUAUCAAUGUUUAUUUGUUUUUUUUACAUAGUUCAUAUUACAUCGAAAAAUUGUUUAAACUACUUGGGAAAUGUUUUUUCUGCACACCUUUAUAGUAACAUUAACAAAAAAAAAAGGGUGCCUCUGCAUUUUGUUGUCAAGUAGUACACUGAUGAUUAACAGAUAUUUUGAUAAUCUACUUAUCAACUAAAUCAUCACAAUGCCCAUCUGUAGUCUGGAUAUACGAUGGAUGAUGACCUGUUAUUUUACAUUUGUUUAAAAAAAACAUGUCGUCGAUUCUUUUGUGAGUAGUUUGACUGCCAAAUGACGGUGCGGCCUUUUUGCAAAUGUUUCUGCAUCUGCAACAUGACACCCUCCCCCCAUUUAUUUGUAUUAUCAUUAAUCCUUUGUCCCUCUCUGGCUUGAAGACUAGCAGUGUUUAUGUUGCUGCUGGCCAUCAGACUGUUUACUGCACGGAACAAAAACAUGCUUCGUAAUGGCGCACAUCGCCUCCUAAAUCAUCAUUUAUUCCUCUCGCCGCCCACACGUGCUGCAGGUUUUUUUUUUGUAUCCUUUUCAUGCGGGUGUUUUUUUCCCUCCUGUGGGUGGACAAUAAGGAGUCUCUCCUUAUCAAGAACGCUGCUGCUGCUGUUUUGCACCUUUUGUUUGUUUUUAGGCAGACACAUGAAGCAAUGCCACCCCAUCCCCCGACCGCUAUAUUCAUCACAUGCAUUGAUUUCUACUUCAAUAUAUAACUCCGUGACGUUAUUGACUCAAGUUGCUAUUUUAUUAUCGCUCCACCUCUUAAUAUUGCACACAAAUUUAAAGAAAAGAGUUGUCUCUUUAAGUUUUGCUUUCAUACGAAACUGAAUCCUUAACCACGGCGUCAACCUCGGUUCCCUUUUCAGUCAUACUCGUCCUGACAUGCUCGUGUGAGUCAUGAAGUGACACAUUUCUUCAUUGCUUUCUCCCAAAAAUGGUUGUCAUGACGGAACUGAUUAUUUCUCCUGUCGACACAAGGACUCACAAUACUGCUAGUCAUGUUUUGUUGUUGGUUGCAGGCUAAGUUAAGUUCAAGAUAAAGUACCAAUGAUAGUCACACACACACUAGGUGUGGCGAAAUUUGUCCUCUGCAUUUGACCCAUCCCCUUGUUCACCCCCUGGGAGGUGAGGGGAGCAGUGAGCAGCAGCGGUGGCCGCGCCCGGGAAUAAUUUUUGGUGAUUUAACCCCCAAUUCCAAGCCUUGAUGCUGAGUGCCAAGCAUGGAGGUAAUGGCUCCCAUUUUUAUAGUUUUUGGUAUGACUCGGCCGGGGUUUGAACUCACAACCUACCCAUCUCAGGGCGGACACUCUAACCACAAGACACUGGCGCAGUCAUUCUUUCAUAUACGUCAAACUUAUUUUAAGCUCAGGGGCCACACGAAGAAAAACCUACCUGGGUCGGAUUGGUAAAAUCAUGGCGUGAUCACUUAAAAAUAAAGACAACAUUUUUAUUAAGGAUCCCCAUUAGCUGGUUGCCUCAACAACCUACUAGUCGUCCUGGGGUCCACAAUUCAAUACAAUUACAAAUAAAAGCAUAUAAUUAUAACUACCGUAUUUUUCGGAGUAUAAGUCGCAUCGGAGUAUAAGUCGCACCUGCCGAAAAUACAUAAUAAAAAAGGAAAAAAACAUAUAUAAGUUGCACUGGAGCCCGGCCAAACUAUGAAAAAAACUGCGACUUAAAGUCCGAAAAAUACGGUACACAACACAGAAAAAAAAUAAAAUAAAA